rnacentral:rRNA from 1 species
GUAGGUGGCAAGCGUUGUCCGGAAUUAUUGGGCGUAAAGCGCGCGCAGGUGGUUCUUUAAGUCUGAUGUGAAAGACCCCCGGGCUCAACCCGGGGGAGGGUCAUUGGAAACUGGGGAACUUGAGUGCAGGAGAGGAAAGUGGAAUUCCACGUGUAGCGGUGAAAUGCGUAGAUAUGUGGAGGAACACCAGUGGCGAAGGCGACUUUCUGGCCUGUAACUGACACUGAGGCGCGAAAGCGUGGGGAGCAAACAGGAUUAGAUACCCUGGUAGUCCACGCCGUAAACGAUGAGUGCUAAGUGUUGGGGGGUUUCCGCCCCUCAGUGCUGCAGCUAACGCAUUAAGCACUCCGCCUGGGGAGUACGGUCGCAAAGACUG